rnacentral:rRNA from 1 species
UACGUAGGGGGCAAGCGUUAUCCGGAUUUAUUGGGUUUAAAGGGUGCGCAGGCGGCCUGUUAAGUCAGCGGUAAAAGCCCGGGGCUCAACCCCGGCGAGCCGUUGAAACUGGCGGGCUGGAGUUGGAGAGAAGUACGCGGAAUGCGCGGUGUAGCGGUGAAAUGCAUAGAUAUCGCGCAGAACUCCGAUUGCGAAGGCAGCGUACCGGCGCCAGACUGACGCUGAGGCACGAAAGCGUGGGGAUCGAACAGG